rnacentral:rRNA from 1 species
UACAGAGGGUGCAAGCGUUAAUCGGAAUUACUGGGCGUAAAGCGUGCGUAGACGGUUAUGUAAGUCAGGUGUGAAAGCCCCGGGCUCAACCUGGGAAUUGCAUUUGAGACUGCAUAGCUAGGGUGCGGAAGAGGGAAGCGGAAUUUCCGGUGUAGCGGUGAAAUGCGUAGAUAUCGGAAGGAACACCAGUGGGCGAAGGGCGGGUUCUCU